AAUUCUUAAAAUAAAAUCCGUGUAACGUCUCUCCUAGUAGCAGCUAUAAACAAACCUCUAGAGGAGGCCGGAGGAAGAGGAAAAGAGGCGCUAGGAACUCUCGGUGAGCGCGGCCGGCGGGAGUGAAGCUAGUGGCCCCGGUGGCCCGAAGGGCCGGGCGCUUAGUAGGCGAAGGGGCCGCGCUCCGUGCGCCACCGCUCGGAACUCCCUGCGCCCUGGCGCUCCGCCACCGUGGUCCCGGCAACGGCAUUAAACAGAGGGAAACAGGCCCGGGAUUCCGUCACCCGCGGGGGAUAAGGAGGGCAUUGAGACAGACAGGAAAGAGCUCUCUGGAUGGGGGGCUGGGACGGCCGCGCGGUGUAGACGCAGAAGAGAGGACGCGCCGGGAGGUCGGUCCCUGACUAGACUCGCCGGAUCCCCGCGCCUUGGGAGCGCCCCCAGCCACUCUGCAGACCCGGUCUUAGCCGCGCCUCAGUGCUUCUGUCCCGCCCGCCGGGACCUGGAAGCGAGAAGAGGGCGGGGACGGAAACUCUCCCAGCA
rnacentral:lncRNA from 1 species